ACUAGUUCACUUUCAAGUGUCAUCAGUAGCAGCUCUGGGGUCUGUGGUAAGUGGUGGCUGCUCUGUAAGAGUCCACAAGGGUUGGAGUUUACUCCCUGACUCUCCUGGACGAGCUAAGAUCCCUAAUAGCCUUGGUAUGUUCCCUUUUUUGCUUAUUAACCAUAAAAAUUUGUUUGUUUCCAACUAAGAACAGUGGUGGACACCACAUCACAACCUCAGUUUUAAAAAUAACAUCUGUAUUGAGAUGUAAUUCACCUACCUUACAACUUACCAAAUUAAAAUGCAGACUUCAGUGGCUUUUGAUAUUCUCAUGAACUGUGCAAUCGUCCCCACAAUCAGUUUUGCAUUUCCGUCACCUCAAAAUGAAACUACCUGUGAGCACUCAUUCUAUUUUUUCCAAUGCCCUGCAUCCCACCGCACCCCCAAGUCCUAGGGAACCCCUAUUCAUUCCUCUUCCCGUCUCUGUUUUUUCUGCUGUGGGCAUUGAAGAUCUGGCUGUGACUGGCUGCUUACACUUAACUGCAAGUAUUCAAGUUUCAUCCACAUAAUGAUGUGUGAAGAAAUUUCAUUGUGUACAUAAACCUGAUUUUAUUUAUCCAUUCAUCAGUCAAAUAUUCAGGUUGGCUCCAGUAUUGUGAACAAUGCUGUUGUGGAUGUUACUUACAAGUAUGCUUUGUGGAUGGCUGUUUUCAUAUUCCCUGGGGUGACACCCAGGAGUGCAGUUGUUGAGUGACAUGGUAAUUGUGCCUUUAACCCUACGCUGUUCUCAAAGCAGCCGCAGUUUCAUGACCUCUCAGUGUGGCAUGAGGCGUCCCCUUUCUCCAAAUCUUGCCCAGUACUAAUCGGCUAUCUUUUUAUUGCAGCUAUGAAGUUGUGUCACUGUGGUUUUUGGCUUGCAUUUUCCUGAUGGCUGAUGAUGCUGGACAUAUCUUCACAUGCUCGUGGGUUGUAUCUUCAGAGAGAUGUGCCUGCUCAGAUCCUUUGUUCCUCCAUAAAUUGGGUUAUUCAUCUUUUUAAUAUUAAGUCAUACAGUUCUUUUACAUUCUAGAUGUAAGCGCCCGAUCAGAUGUAUAAUUUGCAAAUAUUUCCUUCUGUUCUGUGGGCUGUCUGUUCCUUUCCUGCCGCACACCUCAUUGUUUAUUUAUAAUAUGGAACUAGAUAAAUCUUGAAUUGAGUCCUGGCAGGAUUCCAAACACUGAUGAUUUGUAUUUAGAAAACACUACAGAGAUUGCUCGGAGCUAAUGUGGCUUACUGAGAAUAAGAACUAACAUCGUUUUACUUUGUUCUUAAGACCUCGCUUUCCUUCUCAUUAAAAAUACACGGUAUGAUGGAAAUACAGUGCAGUUUUAAAUUUUUUAAAAGUUUACUACGGUGCAAGACGCAGUGCCAUUGAUUCUCCUCAGAAGGACGCGGUUACCCCCUCGCGCUUGCUCCUUUCUGAAGCAGCUGUGGAGUCCUCUUUCCUGAGGAGCUUUGGGUGCACUGCCACAGCUGCCUCCCCGUUCUGAACUGAUUCAAAAUGCUUUCCUCCCCUGGUCCUUUUGACUGUGGGGAAAAGCCAGGAGCUCCACAGUGCCAGAUCUGUUGAGCAAGGUGUCUGAGACACACGGUAGCAUUUUCACGAGCCUUCCUCUGGCUGGCACUGGACAGCAGCAUUCACCCUAUUGUUGACCACGCCUCCUCAAGAUGCUUGUGGAAGGGGACUUCCGGAAUGACUCGGAAAGUGGCAAGAUUGAUGGGGUGGGUAUAUUCAAGCAAGGGGGAAGAUUUAGGGGAAGCUUAAUGGCAACGUGUGAUGUACCGUAAUAAAUUUUAAAAUGUAAACAGUCACUGUAUAUUCUAAUCAUCACUUGUAUUAUAUCCUCUUGCUCAUAGAUCAGUGAUGGCAAAUAUUUUAGAGUUUUCAAUGAUAGCCAGCAUCCCACUGUGGCAUGCAGGCCACGGCCUCACACCACUGCUGUAGACAAUGGUGUAGAGAUUUGUGCAAGGAAGAAGACUCUCUGUAAGAGAAUAUUCUGGUAAAAGUUGAGAUUGACUGUUUCAUCAAAUAGGGGAUUCUAAUCAUGACCAACACCCAGAUCGGGCCAUUGGACUGACUCUCUUAAGGAUGUUGCUAAAGAAAUGCCUGACUUAAAUUACGUAGCUUAUAAAACCUUUCCUCCUCCUACUGUUAUUCGCUCAUUUAUCCAUCUAUCUGCUCACUCAUUCCUUGUUCAAGAAGAAAAAUCAAAAGUCUUAUAGGAAUGUGUAAAAUACCACAAGAUUGCCAGUGGCCAGUAAAGAGACUCAAAGAUGUGAAAAUUAAGGAAAAGACACAGAAGUUAAACAUGCAGCUUAUCAUCAAAUACGCAAGGUCAUUAUUCACAUAGAAUUUGGAGCUAGAAAAGAUUUUCUGCCUGCACAGAUGGAAGAAUAGAGUUCAGCGAGACUGACCUGUCCAGCCCAAUCAAGGAGUCAAUAGUAGAAGUGAGACUCAAACCUGGCGCCAGCUUUACUUGGUGUCCCAGUUCUACCUCGCCUGCUGUGCAGGAGGCCCUGUCCCCGUCAGGUGCUCCUGUGGCCCUUCCCGGAGGAGAUGACAAGGAUGUAAGCAGUGCAUCUGAAAAGACCCCACAUCUCCUGCAUUUCCCUAAGAAAAUUAUUAAUGGUGAGGCCAAUCAAAAGCCAGAUAAAUCCACCCAGAUAAAGCACAACGAUUCCCGUUUGAAAUGGAUGGAAGCUUUUGAAACAAACUCCUGGUCAUUUCCAGGCUUCCUGUUCACCCUGCAGCGCCCAGGACUCCCUCCCGGCGGGAUGAGAAGGUUACUGUGUGCAUGCACUCCACUCGACCCCACUCCACCCCACUCCACGCUGAGCUUGCCUUUUGGCCUGUCUUUUCUUUUUUUCUCAGCUCCGUUUUUGCACUGCUUGAGGGUCUGGGGGAACCCUGCGAACGCCAGAGUCUGAACCCAUCACCCCUCUGCAGCAUCGCGCUGUCCACAAAGCUGUCUGUCCACAGGUCUGCCAGGGGGACUUGCUUCAUGCAGGAGGGAGACACACAGUGAACCCUGGUUUCUAUGCCAUAGGUCCCCCGAGAUAGCACUGUGCUAUGUGGGGUGGGCGAGGGGCAGAGCACAUGUGUGUACGGCUGGGGGAAGAAAGGAGGGAAAGAUUAAUAGGAGAAAGAAAGAGAGGAGAAAUUCUAGAAUGCGUGUUAACUGAAGUAACUUUGGGAGGAUAAGAAGGGGGUGGAUGGAGAUGGGGUCAGAACUCACAGAAAGGGGGUGGGAGGGGAUGCUCAGGUCGGGGACACAGGGAGAAGGGUGAGUUCAGAGCCUGUCCCCCCGCUUUGCGUGGCUACCUGCCUGUCCAUAAGCACAUGAUAUAGGGGUUCAGACUUGAGGACAAGUUCCACCCAUCAGAGCAUCCAAGAUGGAGAGGCUCACAGCCACAGAGGAACCCCAGCUCUGGGGGAAAGGGAACCCUAGGGGGACUGCUGCAGGGUGUCACUUUGCUGGUGCUUUUGUGGUGAGGGCCAAGGACGCUAGCAGCCCCCAGCUCUUGAGGAAACUGGCUAAGUAAAUAACAACCAUCUGCAAGUGUCCAGCUUAUAUCCAGAUGUCCCCCAAAACCCUCAUGUGCUCACGGGGGAGGGGCUUUCAGGAGGUGACUGGGUCACAGGCAUGAGGUGCAUUAGUAGAUUAGUUCCCUAAUCAGUUUAGAGCUCACCGUGAUGUUGGGAGGUGAAACCUGAUUGGCGGAGGUGGUCACGGGGGCGUGGCCUGGAAGGGUCUGAGUCUCUCCUCCUCCCUGAUCUCUCUCUGCUUCCCGCCGCCCUGACAGGAGCUGUCUCUCCUCUGCUGUGGCCACCUGCCCUGGAGCCACCCAACCUCUACAAACUGAAAGCUCUGGACUGAAACCUCUACAAACUGUGAGCCCAAACAAGCUCCUCCUUCCAGGUGUAGGCCUUGGGUGUUAGGUCUCAACAAUAAGAAAGUAACUGACAUGAUUAUGAAUAAUGACAUAGCUAUCUAUUGAUCAGCUUGCAAAGGCAUAGAUAAUUUACCAUGCAGCGGGAAAGAAGGCAGCUGUAAAACGGGGCAGAGAGUGGGUGCAACUUAACGCUGAGAGUUAUGUAGAUCUAUAAAAAUAUCUGGGUGACAAAGUCGAUGUCUGAGUAUGUCUGAAACAGUGAAAACCACAUGAAAUCCACAGAGGAGUGGCACGCCAUAUUCAUUCUUGACUUUUUGCUUUUGUGAUGAAUCUGUAUUCCUUUUAUAAUCAGGCAAAUGGGAAAGUCAUCGUGCAUGAAAGAGAACGGAGAGACUUCGGCCCUGAGUCUCUGGCCUCCCGAUUAUCCCUUUGGAAGGAGCACUGCUGGCAUGAAGAGGACCGGGCUGGGGUGGUGGGGCCCAGCCGUGCCACUUAGGGAGUAAGGCCCGUCACUUUGAACAAGUUCCUCAACUUCUCAGAGCGCGGAUGUGGCCACUUGGACAGUGCGAGUGGCAGGAUGUGAAGGAUGAACUGACCCGCAGGACACAGCUCUUGGUACUGCGCGGGGCUAAGGAGCUGCUCAGUAACUGUCAGCAAUGGUGACGUGUUGGUGAGGGGGAAGGAGAGAGCCAGGGUGACAGUGUCGUGACGUCACCUGGUGCUCGCCCAACAGCGUUCAGUGUGAACUGCAGCAGGUGCACACUAGGCUUGGAGGACUCGGCACAGUGGCUCUCAGAGUGUGGUCCCUGGCACCAGGCAGAAACUCCAGGCAGUUUCUAAGCCCAGGCCUGAGAUCACGUGAUCAGACACUCGGGGCCGGGCCCAGGAAUCAGCAUCGUCGCCAGCCCCUCCGUGCAACUCCACUAUGCGUAGAAAACUUGGAAGCCUCUGCACUCGUGGAUGCUUUUGGUGUCACACAAAGAAGCGGCCUCCUGGGCCAUGCAUUAAUUUUUUAUUUGCUCAAACGUGUGUGACACAAUCUUGCACUUUGCUAUAUAAAGUUGUAAGUAAAUAGAGGGUGAGUGAAAUU